GCCAGGCGCGGUGGCACGUGCCUGUAGUCCCAGCUACUCAGGAGGCUGAGGUGGGAGGAUCGCUCGAGCCCAGGAGUUCUGGGCCGUAGUGCGCUAUGCCAAUUGGGUGUCCGCACUAAGUUCGGCAUCAAUAUGGUGACCUUCCGGGAGCGGGGGACCACCAGGUUGCCUAAGGAGGGGUGAACCGGCCCAGGUCGGAAACGGAGCAGGUCAAAACUCCCGUGCUGAUCAGUAGUGGGAUCACACCUGUGAAUAGCCACUGCACUCCAGCCUGGGCAACACAGCAAGACCCCGUCUCUU
ensembl:misc_RNA Metazoa_SRP Metazoan signal recognition particle RNA